rnacentral:rRNA from 1 species
CCUACGGGUGGCAGCAGUGGGGAAUAUUGCACAAUGGGGGAAACCCUGAUGCAGCAACGCCGCGUGAGUGAUGACGGUCUUCGGAUUGUAAAACUCUGUCUUCAAGGACGAUAAUGACGGUACUUGAGGAGGAAGCCACGGCUAACUACGUGCCAGCAGCCGCGGUAAUACGUAGGUGGCAAGCGUUGUCCGGAUUUACUGGGCGUAAAGGGAGCGUAGGUGGAUAUUUAAGUGGGAUGUGAAAUACUCGGGCUUAACCUGAGUGCUGCAUUCCAAACUGGAUAUCUAGAGUGCAGGAGAGGAAAGUAGAAUUCCUAGUGUAGCGGUGAAAUGCGUAGAGAUUAGGAAGAAUACCAGUGGCGAAGGCGACUUUCUGGACUGUAACUGACACUGAGGCUCGAAAGCGUGGGGAGCAAACAGGAUUAGAUACCCGGGUAGUCAAC